UACGAAGGGUGCAAGCGUUAAUCGGAAUUACUGGGCGUAAAGCGUGCGUAGGCGGUUGCUUAAGUCAGAUGUGAAAGCCCUGGGCUCAACCUGGGAAUGGCAUUUUGAAACUGGGCAGCUAGAGUGUGAUAGAGGAUGGCGGAAUUCCCGGUGUAGCGGUGAAAUGCGUAGAGAUCGGGAGGAACAUCCGUGGCGAAGGCGGCCAUCUGGAUCAACACUGACGCUGAGGCACGAAAGCGUGGGGGAGCAAACAGG
rnacentral:rRNA from 1 species